rnacentral:lncRNA from 1 species
CUGUCUUUGUGCUUGGUCAUAAUGAGAGCUGGGGCUCUGAGCCCCAAACCUCUCCAAAGAAGCACCUCAGAAAACAAAGGAAUAAAGUGCCAUAUUCAUUCUGUGUCUGGAUCCUGGUUCAUGACAGCUCCUUCCUUGGCUCUGCUGUUGUCAUCCUGGAAAAGGAAUUCAUCUUUUUACUGCCCUGAAAGUUUCGUGGCUUCCUUCUUCCCUCACAUGUUUAGGAGAAAUUUGUGAUGUUCACUUAAGCUAUGCUAAUUGUUGGUACCCUACCUGCUCUUGCAGAAGGGUUGCUCUUAAAUGUUUAUUAAUUUACAAAGGAGAACCAUAAACAUUCUGUUUGAUGACAUAAUGUUAUUUUGAUGCUAGAAACACUUAAUAUUCAUGUUAUCUUGUUAUCUGUCUUUUAAAACAUAGGCCCUGUUGAAUUUUUAAAAUAAU